AUCGGCAGCUAAUGGCACGGCUAUGGGCACGCGAUUUGCACCCUCAUAUGCAAACUUAGUUAUGGGAUACUUAGGAGAAAAACUCUAUGAGGAAGUAGAAAAAACUUUUGAUCAGGAAUACAAGAAAUAUAUCAUUAAAAAGUGGAAACGCUUCCUUGAUGAUUGCUUCAUCUUUUGGAGAAAAUCGAUGAAGAUCUAAAUAUAUUUAACUAUAUGCUGAACACACUUCACCCUUCCAUCAAAUUCACAACGGAAUCCAGUUGCAAUGAACUACCAUUCCUGGAUAUCCACAUAAAAAUACUAAACUGCACAGUCACAACAGACAUAUUUUAGAGAAAGAGUAUACAUACCAAUAUUUACAUUUUUACUCUUGCCAUCCAUCACACAUCAAAAGAAGCAUCUCAUACAGCAUGGCUAGACGCGUCUGUGCUAUAGUAAGUGACCCUAAAACACGUGAAAUCAGACUCAACGAACUCAAAGGCUUCCUUACUAAACAAAAUACCCCUUAGACUUAAUUAAUGAAGGAAUUAAAAAGGCGAUGAAACUGAAUAUCACCCAACUACGGACACCUGAGGAAAAAGUUAAUGAAAACACGAUUCCGUUAAUUAACACACACAGUUCUGGAAUAACCAACAUCUUUUACACCAUAAAAUCCAACUUGCCUAUACUCCUACAAAGCCCCAGAAUGAAAACUCUGAUUGAAAAAAAACACCUUACGAAAUAGCAGAUGCCAACUAAAAAAUCUUAAAAAGCAUCUCACAAGGGCAGAAUUCAGAUCAGAGAAGGAACCAGAAUUCGUAGUAAAAGAAUGUGGAAAUAGGAGAUGUGGAACGUGUAACAAUGCCAACAACUUCAAGUAUAUAGAAAGUGGUUCCCACAUAAAGUUCGAGAACGGAUCCAUUUUU